rnacentral:rRNA from 1 species
GAUGAACGCUGACAGAAUGCUUAACACAUGCAAGUCGAUGGGGAAGUGGUGCUUGCACCCUGGUAACCAUGGCGGACGGGUGAGUAACGCGUAAGGAACUUGCCUGCGGGACUGGGAUAACAGCAGGAAACUGCUGAUAAUACCGGAUAAGGUCAUUAAGCUGCAUAGCUUAGUGAUGAAAGGAGACGCCUGCGGAGAGCCUUGCGUCCUAUUAGCUAGUUGGAGGGGUAACGGCCCACCAAGGCGAAGAUAGGUAGCCGGCCUGAGAGGGUGGACGGCCACAAGGGGACUGAGAUACGGCCCUGACUCCUACGGGAGGCAGCAGGGGGGAAUAUUGAACAAUGGGGGCAACCCUGAUCCAGCAAUUCUGUGUGCACGAAGACGGUUUUCGGAUUGUAAAGUGCUUUCAGCAGGGAAGAAGGAAGUGACGGUACCUGCAGAAGAAGCGACGGCUAAAUACGUG